AAAAUCCCACCGGCCGUCACAUUUCUCCCCGUCGUUCCCCAUUCUUCCUCUCCCCGUCUCCUCGGGCCACCCCUCCCCUUCGUACCCACUGCCACCAAGAGGAGCUCGGCAUGCACGGGAGCAUCCCAGCGCUAGGCUCCGUCGGAGGUGCGGGACUUCCACGCCCCUGCUCUUCCCCGUCCUUCUUCGAAUCUGCUCGCCGAAGUGCCGAAGGAUGCGCUCGAGCUCAGCAUGCUCACGAGCGACCCAGCGCGGAUGCCCGCAACAAGACAACAAGGAGCGGGCGUGGGUGCGCAAAAAUAUAUGGGCACAGUUCGAUGCCUCCACUGGCGUGCCUUCGUUUGAUAUGCUAUUCAAGAUCCCUGUACAAUUGUGUUAUUCAAGAUACAAUGGCACUCGAUGAUGCUUGCUAAGAAGGUCUGCAGUAUCCACUGGACUGUUGCUUGCCAGAUGACUGGAAGAUGGAUAAAAUUUGGACCAUGGCUCGGUAUGAUCAAUUGGAGAAGACAUUACUAUGACUACAAAGAUCUGUUUUUUCAGGUAUGUGCAAGAAGAGGAGCCGACCUUCUCGAAGCCGGGGAUGACAGUGGAUAGCUCAAUGAAUCGUCGGUUGAUCUUCUCUCGGCGCUUCCGCUUCUGCUCCGCUGCAAGAGAGAGGGGCGGCAGGGGCAGAACCGAAGGACGGUGAGGAGGGAGCGGCGGGUCUGCGGGUAGACCAGACGGGGGCGGCAGCGAGAGUCUGCCUACAGGACGGACGGCUGCCGAGGGGCGGCGAUGAGGGGAGGAGGCGGUAGGGCGUCGGGGAGGUUGGGGAUGGAGCAAAUCUGUGCGAAUUCGAGGGAGGGAGGUUGAGGAUGAUCCUGAAAUUACGGAUCACAUCGGUCAUCAGGGGGGAGUGCGCGACCAUGGUCUGCCGUGGCAGAACAUUAAAUCACAGCCGUUCAACCGGUUGGCAGACCAUCGGGUCAUUAUAUACUGUUAGAUUUGACUAAAUGGAUUAGAUCUGAGGGUUCUGAUUGUUCUGUGUACACUUGUUUGGGUGGUUGUAAAAUAACUCUAGUUUGCUCUUUUAAUAGUAGUAUAGAUUAAAAACAACAACUAAACAACAUUAUGUACUACGCCCUCUGUAAACUAAACUGAAAAAAUGUCUUAUAUUAACAUAUAAAGGUAAUAUUUAUCGAGGAGAUCCUCCUCCGUCUUCAUGUAUUUUUAGAGGGAUAAUAAAAUAUUGGAUUUUUUAGA